UACGGAGGGUGCGAGCGUUAUCCGGAAUCACUGGGUUUAAAGGGUGCGUAGGCGGCGUUAUAAGUCAGAGGUGAAAGGCACGAGCUUAACUGGUGAAUUGCCUUUGAUACUGUAAUGCUUGAAUUAGGUUGAGGUUAGCGGAAUGUGACAUGUAGCGGUGAAAUGCAUAGAUAUGUCAUAGAACACCAAUUGCGUAGGCAGCUAGCUAGGCUUUAAUUGACGCUGAGGCACGAAAGCGUGGGGAGCGAAC
rnacentral:rRNA from 1 species